rfam:Triticum aestivum genome assembly, contig: Triticum_aestivum_CS42_TGACv1_scaffold_002956_1AL
UUUGUACACCGGCACCGUCCCAAAAUUCUUGUCUUAGAUUUGUCUAAAUACGAAUGUAUCUAGAUACAUCUGUAUCUAGGCAAAUCUAAGACAAGAAUUUUGGGAAGGAGGGAGUACGUU